GGUGUUUGGAAGGAAGGAUUGGGAGCUGGGUUUUGACACUCUUUGUGGGUCCCUUCCAACUCAGGGGAUUCUAUGAUUCUCAGUGUAUUGACAGUACAUGAGUUUUUUACAGAGGUUUUCUGGAUGGUUUGGUAGCACCUUGACUGACUGGACCAUAAUCUCUGGAGGAGCAGAGGAAGCUCUCCAUGAAGACUUGAGGAUGUGGAAAGUGGAAGAAGCAGCUGGUUUGGGGUACAACCUAAAAUGAGAGGACCUGAACUUACCUGGUUGAAUAUGCAAAGAGAGGGAAAGAAUGACAUGAUUUGGAAGAUGAUGCAGGACCUGAAAUCUUUAGCAUUCCUCCAAGUUCUGUGAAAAUCUGUGAAUAGUGCUGUCCCCAGUGUGGGUGCAGAAAACCAACUCCAUUUCCAACCUUAGGAGAUCCUGUGUGGGAGAGGAACCCCACAGAUGCCCUGACAGCAGAGCUCUGCCAGAGCUGAGAGAGACUCAAAGCUGAACCUUGCUUGAAGCAGGACAACGUGGAUGGAAGAUGUAAAAAUCACAAUUAAUAUAUAUUUUUCUCUUUA